rnacentral:lncRNA from 1 species
CCUGGCGCCAGACGGUGGUUUCCAGGCAACGGAGUUGUUCCGAGUUGGGCUCCGAGUUUGAGUUGCGGCGGCAGCGCGGCCCCGCUCCGCUCUAUCCAAAGGGGCCUGGCUCUGCUGUGGGCCGCCCCCGCUGCUGUUGGGAGCUGUCAGAGGGCCGCCCGACCCUGGGGGCCACGGCAGCGGCGCCGGUCGGGGCGGAGAGCCCGGACACAGCGCUCGUUCGCCGAGGGCAGAACGCCCCACGGCUGCGAAGCUGUGCGGCCCAGGGCGGGAGACGGCCGCUGUCCCCCAGCUGCCGCGGUGUCCCGGGCCCAGCACGGCGGCUGCCGCCCAGGGCCCGGGGCUGGUGAGUGGCCGAGGUGGUACAAUAGCAGUCGAUUUAAUGCAACCGGAGUGAAAGAUGGUGGACCGCUUGUUGUUAGCCGGCGAGGAGGGGCGAGGAAAAAGCGUGGGCAGAGGAGGGACGGAGCGGGAAGGAGCCGGGACGCUGCCGGCGCUGCCCUCGGGUCCCUGAGGGAGGGGAGCGCGGGGGCCGCCAUGGCGGGGCGAGCCAACGCUUCCAAAGCCGCGUUCCACUCCAGGGCAGCCCCAAAGAGGGGCACACGAGACAGCAGGAGCUGCAAACCGCACAGGCUCCUGUGCUUCCAACAGGCUCUGAUCUCCUCGUGUCCUGCUCCCAGCAUCAGAGGGAAGGGAUUUGGUUGUGGAUUGUGGAGAGAUCACUGCCUAUGCUCUGCAGAGUCUGUGCCCCAUUAUUUAAAACAAUGCAAUGAAGUGUUACCCUUUAUCUACUCAAUGCCACAAUACAGCAAGAAAAUGCUAGAAGAGGAAGAGGAUACACAUUAAAGAAAACCCUGACAAUAGUGAAAAAAAUACUAGAGACAGUCAUAUCCUCUGCUAUAUAGAAUUCUGCUUCAUACAGCAGUUUUGCCUUCUUUUUCCAAGAAUUUGCAAGAGUGACAGCAAAUCUGUGACCACAUUAGUCAUUCUGUCAAGGAUGGAAAAACCUAGAAAGAAAAAGAUAAUAAUUGCCAAAGAAAACAGACACAGGCCUCAGCAGAUAUAAAUUGGCAAUUCUGUUUACUCCACACGCUCUACUCAACAUGUUCCAGCUGUGCACGUGUCAUUCAAGUGUCCAACUCUGUCUAUGCAGACUAUUCCUGAGGCUCCUGCCUAAUCACCUUGUGGAAGCACAGUACUCCAUUUGUUCAAUUUGCCUGCAUAGAGGAAGACAUGACAGAUGUAUCUGAAGCAGUACUAAAAACUGCUGUAAUUGGGCAGAUCCCAAUCUCAGCUAACGAGUGAGUAUUCUAAUGCCACAGCAGCACAUAAUCACUCACGUUCAUGUUCUGCUGUUCAGUGGUGACGUAUAUGAAGGCUCAUCUACGAGAAGCUUGUAGAGUCAUCAGAUGGUGGAGGAGAAUGCCAGAUAAGGAGCAGAGCUCCAAACAAUUUUUGUAGUUUCUACAUUGUUUUUAAAUUAUCCUGAUUGUUUUCUGUGGCCUUCCUACUAUGUUUUGAUUGUGAGUCACACAGGAAUUGAAGCAUUUUGUUUUAUCUACAUUCAUCCUUUACUGAUAAUGAUAUAAUACGAUAAAGGCCUAACAUAAAACAGUUCCUAAAAAAACACUGUAUUUCAAUUUAGUGUAAUCUUUAAAUCAUCAGCAAAGCAGCUUUACAAUUCGACAUUAAUAGUUCCAUAUAUGCAAGUAGUACAAACAAACUUUGCCUGGAAAUGUCUUCAUGCCCUUCAUUUCUUUUAUUUCUUAUUCCUCAUGGUAGACUCCAAAUCUGUGCGAGUUAUCUGUAGACCUCUUUUCAGAAAAAUACAAUGUUCUACUUGAUAUGAUUCUGUCUAGAGAAAACAAAAGCUUCACCAGCAGUCCAGUAUUUCCUGAAUACUUAAUUUAUUAUGAAUAUAUACAUACUCACGUUUCAAGGGGAAAUUUGCUACUGAGAGUAAAAUAAUCAUAUAUUUUGGACCACCAUUAAAUAUUUAAUAGACAUUUACCUUUAUAAAAACAACAUGUUCCAUAAUCACAUACACUUGUUAUCAGAACUUGGUAUUUAAAGUACAUAGAUUUUUAGCUGUAAUGGAAAAUGUGUGUAUUUUAACAGUGUAAGGCCUUUGACAAACUUAGAUUUGUAACAGUAAAGAACAGGAAAUUACUAUUCAUCAUCACUCAAAGUCUUAUAUAAGUAUCUGAAAUUGAUUCAUUGAAGCUGAAAAAAAUAAGACAUGAGAGGAAAGCAAAGGACAUGAAAAUACCUUGAUUUACACUGAGUUCUUGCUAAGCUUGGAACUUGAUGUGACCUGGAGGGGCCACUUGCUCGCACAGAUAACCCAAUCAUUCAAUCAAUCCAUUUUGACAGGCUUUUGCCGAGUUGCAGUGGGAUUCUGCAUCUGAUUAGUCCCUCCAAAACACAUCAGGAUGUUGCCAUUCAGUAGUAAGAAACAGAGAGGGGAAAAAAACAACUCCCCUAGGUUACAGCAAACUUUGCUUUAUUCCUUUAGCCACACCACCAGUGGGGACAAUUGACAAAACUUACAAAGCGUCCUUUUAUUUAUGGCUUUUGAGUACUCAUCCUGCCAGGUUUUGGCACAAGCCUUUCACUUAGACUCAGCACAAGUUCAAAACAGACUAAUUGUCAGACAACUUCAUCAGGCCAGCAGAGGAGAAUAUUUUAUCACCCUUAUGCUCCAAGAAGAUAGUGUUGGCUUUCCCAGCAAUAACACCCUCUGUGCAUCAGUGUGAGCAUAGCGCUGCCUCACCCCAAGGAAAGAUUUAGGAACCACUCUGCCACAAAGGGUCACUUGCUGUGCUCUUGGGCUUCUUUGAGGAAAGAAGCUACAAGUCUGUAUCUGCACAUUUCACUUUCAUUUGAGCAUAAAACUAAUUUUCAUGUGAGCUUUUACGUCUGUAAACACCCUGUGACGCAGAAGCAUAUAGUCUGCUGGCUCAGUGUGAUGUUCUCUUGAAGUGAUUCACCUGACUGCAAAGGGGCUCCUUAGGACUCAGUUCAGGUUCUUAACUAACCUUUAUGUUUUUUUCCUUUUCUAAAUUAAGUUUUUAACAUGUUUGCAUGUUGGUUGGCUUUUGUUUUCUUUAUAGAGUAAGAUUGCUUAACAAAUUGCUCCACUUUCUUUUGAAUCUUUUUCAGGGAAGUGACUGAAAAGAACUGAGAUGAAGCUAAAUAAAAAAU